AUCACUCCCAUCCACUUCUUGGCCACGCACGUCGUUUUGGAUAUUUUGGAGACUUCUGCCUGGGAGCCACGAUCUGCAUCUGCCACAGUGAGAGACACUUUGGAAAUACUCCUCUCGAAGGAAGACGAAACGUGCAAAGCUUGUAAUUCAGCAAUGAAAUGUCAAGUGAGGGCUGACUGCUCGUCCUUUUUCUGAACAGAAAAUUAUAGAACAUGUGUCAAUGUUGGACUGUGAAAAAAGGCCUUGGAGCUGAAGGAAGUCUUGUUUCAUCCUUUCAGCUUAAAAGCAGAUGCAGAGAGAAAUGCACAGCUGCUUCAACUGGGACAUUGUUUACUCUUAUAUUCGUGUUCAAGCUUUACAACUGCCUGUCGCAGCUAAUUAGUCCAAGAAAAGUAUUUUCUCGGAGGCCAAUCAUAUUAGACAGUGAUAGUGUACUAACAUCAUACUGCUUUAACUAUAUAACUGUUCUAUCACUUAAAUUGGUCACGCUAUACAUCACAUGGACUUUACAUAACAUGGUCAUGUGUAAGAGACAAAUGCGAUGUCUCUGGACAGAGUUUAUUCACAUGGCGAACGUGCAUGACACCAACGUGUGUCCCUCCUCCUCGCUGUGGCUCCGCGGGGAUGGAACCAUUAAAGGUGGUGCUGGUGUUUACUCCUGGCAAAUACAGAGGUAUAGAGACUCUGGUUUCCAUGGAGACACCAAUCGGUGUCUGCACAGAGAGCAAUUCAGGUGUUGAAUGAGGUCAGCCGAGUCUGGGUGUUCGGAGCAGAUGUGGGAGAAUCGUGCAGCAGAUUAAUGUCUCCUUUCUUCUGGUUGAGCUGCGCCAGUGAGGAGUCGUAAAGAAGAGGAACAUGAGCUACACAGAGAUUCUAGCGCAAAAGCAGGAUUCUUCAUGCAAGAUGCUCUGCCACUUGUUUAAAACUGCCAUAGAAGUUCAUCUUUAAUAAAUGUAUAACCCUAAUUGCUCCUUAAUUAAAGAAUUGGGCCUUGUGAGGGCAAAUGUUUACAGAGAGCAUGAUCUGAAGAGUUUUAUAAUUAUUUCGUCAAUGGGUGCGGCUGAAUGUGGCCCCAGGUUGUUUUGAUUUGGGAGUGUUCAGCUUCCAGGGGAGGAUCUCUGCUCAGGAUGCUUGUAGCAUUACGCUCACACAGGCCUGUGACUUUAAAACCAGAUGAGAGGGGGCCUCUGCUUUCAGGCAACAACAAACCGUGGCAGAUGAUUACACGUCUUUACAGCUACUCACUCACCUUGAUGUUGAGAGCUGCUGCACUUUGCUGAUCACAGCGUCUGGAUCCUGUCCAGCUCCAGUGCUGGACUGAAGAGUGGAGAAGCCCUCAAGUUAAGUGCUGCUCUGUCGACGCACUUCAUCCGUCGAAACAUCCAGACGUUUUACACACUCCAUAAACGUGUCCUCCUGAAUUGAAUUUACUGCUGCAUAUAUCCCCAUAUUUUAUAUUUUAGGUGUUAUUUGACAGCAUUUUAUAUAAUACAGAAAAGUAUGGGUGCAGAGGGUUUGCAUGGAGCAGUUGCGCGCACGCGGCCACAGAACCUUUGGCAAAAUAGGAUUAUCUUAUAUUCAUGUAAGACUCUUCUUAGGGUUGUGGGACGAUAAGCAGGGCCGGAGGUCAAAGGUUAAAUCUGCCUAUAUGUCACAGGUCACCGGUAUUUAAAGUUUGCACACUUUGACCUAUUUGUCUAUCCUUCAAGAAUCCUAAACAUUUACACUUAAGAUGCUUGGACUCUGCUCUCAGCGCUGAUGAGAGUCAUGAGCUACCUUCCAGUGCGGGUGGAAAGAAUGCAAAAUAUUCUAUUUGUUCCUUUUGGUCUGUUUUAGUGUGGUUUCAGUGGCUCUUUCUUUAAUCUAAGUUUAACUUUCACUUUUAAUACACUAUCCAUUUAGUGAUAACACUCUUUAUUAUUAGUUUUGAAUAUAGUAUUAUUGUGAUUUAAUGAUGGUAAGGCUUAUUUAUGGCUUCUUAUAGUCUUGGUACAGGCAACAAAUCCCAGUAAAGCGUGAAACCAUCAAGUAUCGUCUCUCAUAACUUCUCUAUGAAGCGCUCAGCCCCAACUCCACUGUUUCCUGCUGAAGAAACAUAUUCAAAUGGCACCCCACUCCAUAAUUCUACCCCCUCCGUAUUUAACUGUUGACAAGAGACACUCAUUUUUAUAUCUUUCCCCCACCCUCCGUCGAACAUACACUCUUCGCUUGUCGCCAAACUGUUCAAAUUUGGACUCAUCAGUCACCACUUUAUACCAAUCUUCCUUUGUCCAUUUCUUGUGUUCUUUUGCAAAUUUCAGGCGAUUCACUCUAUUUUUCUCUCUCAGUAAUGUUUUUUUUGCUGCUACUCUGCAAACAAGUCCUUCCUCUCCCAGUUUCCUUCGCACAGUUCUUGAAGACACUGUUGCAACAUCACUCAUUGUGGUGUUGAUCUCAUCACGCAGUUCUCGUGAGGUCUUUCUUCGAUCCUUAAGACGAUUUUGAAAUGCUUCACUUUUCUGUCAGAAAGUUUCUUUUUUCUAAUUCUCCCCUUUCAGUUCUGGUGUGAAUUGUAGGCAUCAACAUUCUGGUGAGGCAAGGAGUACCAUCUGGGAGUCGUCUUAUUGGGCCUGGAUUUAUUUUCCAAGUGGAAAAUGACCCUAAACAUUCUGGGGCGAGUUGAAAAAAUAAACUGGACAGAUCUACUGUACAUUCAAAGGAAAGCCUUUGGCUUGAGUUGCAGAAGGCAUGGGAUGAAAUUAGCAUGGAAGUUCUCAGGAAAUAUAUUGACACUUUGCCAGAGAGAUGUGCUGCUGUAAUUGCUGCAAAAAGUGGACAUACCAGAUAUUAAAGUUAAAAGUGGAUUAAAACAGUGGUACUCACUUCAUCUGUUAUUUGUUGGUGCUCAGAGCAACCAUCUGCAUGUUUCAUGAACAUUAUGAAAUUAAAUCAUGUUUUGGAGGCAAAAAAAAAUCAUUUUGUCAGAUCCUAAAGGUGUUCUAAUAAUUUUGGCCACCAUUGUAUGUCCAAUAUUUAGAGUACCAUUCCUUAAAGUGUUUAAAGUGUUUUCCUCAAACUGCUGGGCUCUGCAAUAUCUGGUAAAUCAAAGUCACACUAGACGCUAUUUUCAGUGGCAAAUCAAAACACAUGUGUAUUGGGUCACUCCAGCAAUUGAGUAAACAUUUUCAUGAAGUCAGAGAACUUACAGGCGUGAAAAGAAAUGGUUUGCAGUGUAAGAGACAAAGAUGCUGUGACUUUAAGUCGAGCUAUAAAAAUACAAGACCCUGCAAUUCGAUGAGAGAUGAUAUCAUCAGGGUUUAUUUUUCCAUACUGGACAAAACUCUUAGAUCUUAGAGUCAGUGUGGUGUCUCUUUAACAGCAACACAACACUUGCUUAAAAUCAAAGUAAACACUUUAUAUCAUCUCCUGUUAUUAGCUUUUAACAGCUGUAAAUUAUGGUUAUAAGAAUAACUCUGAUAAAGUUUUUUAAAAGUUGUGUCACUGUGAAAAGUGAUUAAAAUAUGGCCUCCGACGUCCCCUAGUGGCAAUGUGACUUUUGACACUUGCUUGCAGUACAGAAUAUUUCCCACAUAUGUUUUUCCAACAUAUAUUAUAUAAAUAUAUGUUGGAAAAACUGAAUGAAAUAAUUAAAGUAAGUUUAUGAAAGAGCAGGUAACCUUCCUCAAUUUCUCUCACCUAUAAACAUUGUUUAAAACUCACAAAUCACAUAUUUUGCCAUUUUGACUUCUGCGACCUACUCCAUAUCUGUUUACACAUUUGAUCCACAUAAUAUACAUGGCUGUAAUUCUCAAGAUGUUUUCUAACCAAUUCAGAAGAACAAAUGGAGAUGUCAUACUCAGAGGAGACAUGGCUCUGAUUUUAGUGUUCUUUGUGCCAAAAAAGAAAGAAUUUUAAAUGGGACAGGUCACUUUAUAAUUUGGGACACUUGUAUUAGUCUUUUAAAAGAAGCCUUAAUCACGUUGCUUCAUGUGGGUCGAGCUCGGUUUUAGCAAUCUUUAAGCAUUGUGAAAAAUAAAGAAGAAGAUUUAAAUUAUUCAUAGAAAUGUUAUGAAUUAAUAGUGACUUCUGAAAGUCGCACUUUUUCUCUUUAGAACCCUAUCUUUAAUAAAGAAAUUAUCAAAAUCGUAUAGAAUGUUCUUUUAAAGGUGUAUCAAAUGUUUAAAUACAAUUAAAAUUCAAUCAGCAGCAAAUAACAAUAACAGCUUAUAUUUUGUUAGAAGAGGAAUUCAACAGACUUGAUCUUAGGUGUCCCUCAUUACCCGAAUUCCCCCCAUCUGUAUGCCCUUAACUGUAGUUUGGGUUUACAGCAAAUUAACAAAGUAGCUUUAUUGACAGUUGGAUAUGAAACCAGAUUAGUUCCUGAAACUUCUUCCUCACACCACAUGGCAUCCACUAAACCUGAACUCUCAGUGCUCUUUCUUAUUUUAUACUUUUCUCUCUGAUUCAGGAAGAAGGCUUUGAAGAGGCUCCCGAUUCAUUCAUUCAUUCUGAACUUUAGAAAUUUUAACAGAAGUCUUCAUUCAGGCCCCAAAACUUCCAGCAUCAAGUCUAAACAUUUUCAAACCUUAUUAUAUAUCAUCACCCUGCUGCCUAAGUUUGCUCACAAGCUUGUUUGCGCUUGUCCAAACAGUGAUUUGAUGUGUUUUGUCCAAUCGAGAGUUGAACGAAUGAGAAGUAACCUCAAAUUAAAUCAGUGUAGCAAUGGAAAUUGGUAUUUUUGAAAACAAUUUACUUGUUGAUGCACUUAACCUGGAAAGGUGCCAGAUUAGUAGAUUCUCUUUUGUAUAGUCCACAGUUAGGAAUAUUAUCUUUGAGUGUAUGGUGUGUUCCUAUGUGAAUUUUCCCCCUUUAACAGAAUAAAAAGUUCGAUCGAUCAUCCAACAUUAUUCUUAAUACAGUUGAUUGUCCCUCCAGUUAAAUCUUCAGUGUUGGUUGUGCAGCACACUCAUGGUUUGCCACAGGGUGGAGCUCUCUGCCGGGGAACCACUGUACAUACAGUGUAAGAGGACAGCUGUGUAUUUGCAGUGAAGAUGGAACUUUAGAUAGAAUCAUAUUGUUCAAGAUUCAAGAUUCAAGAUUUUUAUUGUCAAAUGCACAACAAUAACAUUAUGCAGUCGCUGGCAGUGAAAUGCUUGAGUCUCAGGCUCUCUACUAACAAUGCUCAAGUAAUUACAACAUAUACAAUAAAAUAAGAUAGAAAUAGUGUAAAAUAGAAUAACACGUGUGCGUGUACAUGCGCUGGUGGGAUGGCAGGUUUUAAAUGUUCUGGAAUUCUUUUGUAUGAUGAUAACACACAGAGCUGUGUGUAAAUGCUCUGGGGAGUUUUCAUGAAGAAGCAGACUUGACUUGUGUGAGCAGACGUGUUGGGACAGGAGCUGGUGGUCUGAGGUAUUCCUGUGAGGUGACACUCCCCUGCUUCACAUCGCCCUGUUGCAAUGUUUUUAUUCCCUGAGGCCGCACAUUUCUGCAGAAGACAACAUGUUGGAAACUAAAAACUAACUUUUUAAAAUUGUAUUUCAACACAUUAUACUUGCUUUUCAAGUAUAGGUAACACUGUAAAGGAUUGUUUUCUCUAUGUUUCAUGUUUUUACAUCAUUGGAGCUUUAAACCCUCUGUCACAUCAGCUCUAAAAGAACAACAAAGAUGUAUUUCAUUCACAGAUCUCCUCCUUCCUCAUGAUGACGGUUAUACUUUGGAAACAUAGUGGAGGUGGGAUGGGAGGUGUUUUUUUCCUCCCUCAGCCACCCACCCACACAAACACACACACACAUACUUGUCCACACUUACGUUUAUAUAGGCUGACCAUUACAGAAGUCAGGUCUCACACUGGCCACCUCCUGCCUGUGUUCAUGAACAUAUCAAUGUGUAAACAUUGUAAUGUGUAAACAGGAAUCCUGUGGCUCAUGGGUAUCUGUCAGGUUGGUUGCUGAUGAGGUUGCUAUCACUCAUGUAUACGCCCGUGAAUUGAAGCAUUGUUCUUGAUCGUUGUUUUGUUAGAUACUUGCUGUGUGUGUAAAUGGACCUAAUGGACUGUAGUUAUAUGUUCAAUCACACACCAUUCACACACUGUCGGCACAACUUCAGGGGCAAGCUGGGGUUCAGUUUGCUGUUGUGUAGGCCGGAGCAGCCAGGGAUCGUACAAUCAACCAUCUGGUGGACGACCCUCCCUAUUUCCUGCCACAGCCACCUUGUUUGUGUGUGUGUGUGUGUGUGUGUGUGUGUGUGUGUGUGUGUGGGUGUGUGUGUGUGUGUGUAUGUUUGUGUGCGUGUGUUUGUAUGUGUGUGUGUGUGUGUGUGUGUGUGCGUGCGUUUGCGUGUGUGUGUUUGUGUGCGUAUGUGUGUGUGUGAUGUUUAUUUUGUAAUGUUAAUUUGUAUCUAAGUCAAAUGUAAAGCUGUUUGACCCCAUGAAGAAUAGCGGCUGCAGUGCUAUAGCUACGAGAAACCUAAUGAGUUAAAC